rnacentral:rRNA from 1 species
GACGAACGCUGGCGGCGUGCUUAACACAUGCAAGUCGUACGGUAAGGCCCUUUCGGGGGUACACGAGUGGCGAACGGGUGAGUAACACGUGAGUAACCUGCCACCACUUUGGGAUAACGCCAGGAAAAUGGUGCUAAUAACUGAUAUGUGCUCCUGCUGCAUUGUGGGGGGUGGGAAGCUCCGGCGGUUGUGGAUGGACUCGCGGCCUAUCAGCUUGUUGGUGGGGUAGUGGCCUACCAAGGCGGCGAACGGGUGGCGGCCUGGGAGGGUGACCGGCCACAUUGGGACUGAGAUACGGCCCAGACUCCUACGGGAGGCAGCAGUGGGGAAUAUUGCACAAUGGGCGCAAGCCUGAUGCAGCAACGCCGCGUGCGGGAUGACGGCCUUCGGGUUGUAAACCGCUUUCAGCAGGGACGAAGCUUUUUGUGACGGUACCUGCAGAAGAAGCACCGGCUAACUACGUG